UUGAACGCUGGCGGCAUGCCUUACACAUGCAAGUCGAACGCGAAAGCGGGGCAACCCGCAAGUAGAGUGGCGAACGGGUGAGUAAUACAUCGGAACGUGUCCAGUAGCGGGGGAUAACCUCUCGAAAGAGAGGCUAAUACCGCAUACGACCUACGGGUGAAAGAGGGGGAUCGUAAGACCUCUCACUAUUGGAGCGGCCGAUGUCGGAUUAGCUAGUUGGCGGGGGUAACGGCCCACCAAGGCGACGAUCCGUAGCUGGUCUGAGAGGACGGCCAGCCACACUGGAACUGAGACACGGUCCAGACUCCUACGGGAGGCAGCAGUGGGGAAUUUUGGACAAUGGGCGCAAGCCUGAUCCAGCCAUGCCGCGUGAGUGAAGAAGGCCUUCGGGUUUGUAAAGCUCUUUCGGCGGGGACGAAACGGUUCGUGCUAACACCACGGAUCUCUGACGGUACCCGCAGAAGAAGCACCGGCUAACUACGUGCCAGCAGCCGCGGUAAUACGUAGGGUGCAGGCGUUAAUCGGAAUAUUACUGGGCGUAAAAGCGUGCGCAGGCGGUCUCUUAAGACAGGUGUGAAAUCCCCGAGCUUAACUUGGGAACUGCGCUUGUAACUGAGAGGCUAGAGUGUGGCAGAGGGGGGUGGAAUUCCACGUGUAGCAGUGAAAUGCGUAGAGAUGUGGAGGAACACCGAUGGCGAAGGCAGCCCCCCUGGGCUAACACUGACGCUCAUGCACGAAAGCGUGGGGAGCAAACAGGAUUAGAUACCCUGGUAGUCCACGCCCUAAACUAUGUCAACUGGUUGUCGGGGAAGCAAUUCCUUGGUAACGAGGCUAACGCGUGAAGUUGACCGCCUGGGGAGUACGGCCGCAAGGUUUAAAAACUCAAAGGAAUUGACGGGGACCCGCACAAGCGGUGGAUUAUGUGGAUUAAUUCGAUGCAACGCGAAAAAACCUUACCUACCCUUGACAUGCCAGGAACCCUCCAGAGAUGGAGGGGUGCCCGAAAGGGAACCUGGACACAGGUGCUGCAUGGCUGUCGUCAGCUCGUGUCGUGAGAUGUUGGGUUUAAAGUCCCGCAACGAGCGCAACCCUUGCCAUUAGUUUGCCACAUUCAGUUGGGCACUCUAAUGGGACUGCCGGUGACAAACCGGAGGAAGGUGGGGGAUGACGUCAAGUCCUCAUGGCCCUUAUGGGUAGGGCUUCACACGUAAUACAAUGGCCGGUACAGAGGGCAGCCAACCCCGCGAGGGGGGAGCUAAUUCCCAGAAAGCCGGUCGUAGUCCGGAUUGCAGUCUGCAAACUCGACUGCAUGAAGCCGGAAAUCGCUAGUAAUUCGCGGAUCAGCAUGUCGCGGUGAAUACGUUUCCCGGGUCUUGUACACACCGCCCCGUCACACCAUGGGAGUGGGUUUCACCAGAAGUAGUUAGCCUAACCGCAAGGAGGGCGACUACCACGGUGAGAUUCAUGACUGGGGUG
rnacentral:rRNA from 1 species